GGGGCUAAGCAAUUCUACAAGAACCACCAUCGCCCUAACUUGCUGAAACAUCAAUCUAGAGUUGAUCAUCUUAUGGGCUUUGCAAGUGCCGGAAUGGCAAGAUUCAUCAGCGCGCACCAAAAGGAGUUUCAAUUUUUCCGGGCAGUGAUGACAAUGAUUGAUCAGACCCAAACGUGAGUGGUGGAACAGAACCUACUGAACCGAGAGGGCUACCUGCAAUUGAUGAUCCGGCAAGGACGAUCGCAGAUCAAGAAUUUGAUAAUGAAGACUUAUAGUUUUUGUUCCCCAAAGGAGAGACCUGCAUGUUAUUAACAUCAUUUUCUCUGG